rnacentral:rRNA from 1 species
UACGUAGGGGGCAAGCGUUGUCCGGAAUCAUUGGGCGUAAAGAGCGUGUAGGCGGCCCGAUAAGUCCGUCGUGAAAGUCCAGGGCUCAACCCUGGGAUGCCGGUGGAAACUGUCGGGCUAGAGUCCGGAAGAGGCGAGUGGAAUUCCUGGUGUAGCGGUGAAAUGCGCAGAUAUCAGGAGGAACACCGAUGGCGAAGGCAGGUCUCUGGGCCACUACUGACGCUGAGAAGCGAAAGCAUGGGGAGCGAACAGG